UACAGGAGCUGUAGAAGAGAAGGACAGGGGAGACAACAGGCUCAGUCAUCUGAUUAUGAAACGCUGCAGGAACUUCAACAUCGGAGAAAAGCUGACAUGCAGCGGCCCUCAGGGAGGAGACGGCUUCACUCUCUCCUUCUGUUUGUCAAGCCGGUAUUAGCAAUGUGCGUGAGGCGGUGGCCUCAGAUUCGGAGGAGAC